rnacentral:rRNA from 1 species
UACGGAAGGCAGCAGUAGGGAAUCUUCCGCAAUGGACGAAAGUCUGACGGAGCAACGCCGCGUGAACGAUGAAGGCUUUCGGGUCGUAAAGUUCUGUUGUUAGGGAAGAACAAGUACCGGAGUAACUGCCGGUACCUUGACGGUACCUAACCAGAAAGCCACGGCUAACUACGUGCCAGCAGCCGCGGUAAUACGUAGGUGGCAAGCGUUGUCCGGAAUUAUUGGGCGUAAAGCGCGCGCAGGCGGUCCUUUUAAGUCUGAUGUGAAAGCCCACGGCUCAACCGUGGAGGGUCAUUGGAAACUGGGGACUUGAGUGCAGAAGAGGAGAGUGGAAUUCCACGUGUAGCGGUGAAAUGCGUAGAGAUGUGGAGGAACACCAGUGGCGAAGGCGACUCUCUGGUCUGUAACUGACGCUGAGGCGCGAAAGCGUGGGGAGCGAACAGGGAUUAGAUACC